AUUGAACGCUGGCGGCAGGCCUAACACAUGCAAGUCGAACGAGUGGCGGACGGGUGAGUAAUGUCUGGGAACCUGCCCGAUGGAGGGGGAUAACUACUGGAAACGGUAGCUAAUACCGCAUACCAUCGGAUGUGCCCAGAUGGGAUUAGCUAGUAGGUGGGGUAAAGGCUCACCUAGGCGACGAUCCCUAGCUGGUCUGCGAGGAUGACCAGCAAAACGGGAACUGAGACACGGGCCAGACUCCUACGGGAGGCAGAAGUGGGGAAUAUUGCACAAUGGGCGCAAGCCUGAGGCAGCCAUGCCGCGUGUAUGAAGAAGGCCUUCGGGUUGUAAAGUACUUUCAGCGGGGAGGCGUUACCCGCAGAAGAAGCACCGGCUAACUCCGUGCCAGCCCCGCGGUAAUUC
rnacentral:rRNA from 1 species